ACAUCUAAUAUCUGCAAACAUGCUGGGAGCCAGCAGGGAGAGAAAGACAAAACAGAGGAAAUAAGAAAAUGGAAAGAAUCCAGAAUGCAGAUGGCCAGAUUUAGAUUACUCAAGCUCAUUCUCGGCUGAUUAGGAUAUCAGAAAGUUUUUGUGAGAAGAUGAGGUAGCCACAGCAAGAUGCAGUUGGAGACUUCCAAUACAGAUGGGACACCAACUGGAAUAGAACCAGGGACCAUCUGAGUCCAUGUUGUCUGCCAUGAAGAAAACCAGACAACCAGAUAUGGAGUUCCUGAAUCCUUCAUUAAAUGACCAGCUCUACUGGAAGCCAAGAGUCAGACAUCAACUGGGAACUACCAUGUAUUUCUUACACUUCUGUCCGCUCAGAGGAAGGCAAUAAAUAACUGAAUUGUUUCUUUCUUGGAA